AUUGAACGCUGGCGGCAGGCCUAACACAUGCAAGUCGAACGGUAACAGGAAGAAGCUUGCUUCUUUGCUGACGAGUGGCGGACGGGUGAGUAAUGUCUGGGAAACUGCCUGAUGGAGGGGGAUAACUACUGGAGACGGUAGCUAAUACCGCAUAACGUCGCAAGACCAAAGAGGGGGACCUUCGGGCCUCUUGCCAUCGGAUGUGCCCAGAUGGGAUUAGCUAGUAGGUGGGGUAACGGCUCACCUAGGCGACGAUCCCUAGCUGGUCUGAGAGGAUGACCGGCCACACUGGAGCUGAGACACGGUCCAGACUCCUGCGGGAGGCAGCAGUGGGGAAUAUUGCACAAUGGGCGCAAGCCUGAUGCAGCCAUGCCGCGUGUAUGAAGAAGGCCUUCGGGUUGUAAAGUACUUUCAGCGGGGAGGAAGGGAGUAAAGUUAAUACCUGUGCUCAUUGACGUUACCCGCAGAAGAAGCACCGGCUAACUCCGUG
rnacentral:rRNA from 1 species